UUCCUGGUGGUCCAGUGGCUAAGACCCCAUGCUUUCAAUGCAGGAGCCCAGGUUUGAUCCCUGGUCAGGGAA
rnacentral:tRNA from 1 species